CCUUAAGGUCCCUUGCUGGACUUGAACCCGGAUGCAGGAAGCAGUGCAACAAACAAUUUCAACAGGAAGUCUUAAACCUCAUACCCCAACAGACAGCAGAGAGUCUGAAGCUUUGAGAGGAAGACGGGCAGUUUAAUUCGAGACACAAUCUGACUGAUAAACCAGGAAUCAUGGAUCCAGGAUCAUGAAGACUGUGAGCAGCUUGCUGGUUGUUCUCCUUACAGUCAGUGGAUCCAGCAGCAGGA